rnacentral:tRNA from 1 species
AGAUUAUUUAAAAGAUUUCUUACAAAAAUUCUAAGUUUAUUAAAUUAAACAUAAUCUA